rnacentral:tRNA from 1 species
CAGAGCGUAGCUAAAUCAACAAAGCCCCUCCCUUACACCGAGAAGACGCCUGUGCAAAUCAGGCCGCACUGA